rnacentral:rRNA from 1 species
UACGUAGGGGGCAAGCGUUGUCCGGAUUUAUUGGGCGUAAAGCGCGUGUAGGCGGCCACACAGGUCCGUUGUGAAAACUCGAGGCUUAACCUCGAGACGUCGAUGGAAACCGUAUGGCUAGAGUCCGGAAGAGGAGAGUGGAAUUCCUGGUGUAGCGGUGAAAUGCGCAGAUAUCAGGAAGAACACCUAUGGCGAAGGCAGCUCUCUGGGACGGUACUGACGCUGAGACGCGAAAGCGUGGGGAGCGAACAGG